GCCCCCGUAGUUCAGCCUGGAUAGAACGUGAGCUUGCGGAGCUUAAAACCGAGGUUCAAAUCCUCGCAGGGGCA
rnacentral:tRNA from 1 species